ACAUUUCCCAGUUGACUACUACCGGUAAUAAAAUCAAAUGGAUUCAGUGCUCACAACUCUUCAGUCUUUGGGCUACUUUCCAUUCUUGAAUUUUUAGCUGAAUUCAUCUCUUUGGCUGGAUUUUGUGAAUCGGGCAGCCAUUAGAACCAAAACAGUUCUGAGGAGCUCCCAGGCUGCAAUGUGGUGCGAAAUGUUUUAUGGACAGAAAAUGGAAAUGAGGUGCAGAAAUUGGAGAUGAAAUUUCAGUCUUUAUUCAAGAUCAAGUGCAACUGUCUCUUUGAGGAAAGUCCUUUGACCGCCAUUUCUCCCCUUCAGAAGGCAAACACCUGGGGGAGAAGAUCUGCUUAAGGACCUGGUAACUGACAAAGAAUGGAAUGGGAGCGAGAACCGCCUAGCCAUCCCUUCUCCUUGCACAGUCAUGAAACAAAAGUUGAAAAGGAGCCUGGUUUUACUUGACCAGUCAUAAAUUACCAUAAAAUAAAAUGAGAUAUUAGGAACCUUUGAUCUCUGAAAAAGUAAUAUGUGUUGAAAAGAAAUAUCACUGUUACAUAUAGACAAAUAAUAGAAAUAUUUGAGGCAUGCAUUUAAAAUGUAGAGGCCA
rnacentral:lncRNA from 1 species